AGUCGAAACGCUGUAAGCGUCUGUAGGAACUGACCGUCCUGCACUGAUGAGACAGGUUAAA
rnacentral:hammerhead_ribozyme from 1 species